CCCUGGAGGCCUUGCAAGUGUGGUUGCAGUGUCAUGUGAGAGGAGAGAGGCUAUGUUUCCUUUCAGUGUUCUGACCUAUGAACAUCUGAAAGACCAGCAGCCUAACAUU
ensembl:snoRNA Gm24398 predicted gene, 24398